AAAUCCUAGGGCAGGCUGCUUUUGGGAAUCCCUCAGCUGCAGUGCAAGGGACGGAUACACAGAGAUGAGAUUCCAUGUUCCCUAUGCAGCUUACCUGAGCCCUGGAGGACCAACGUGUCAUGAAUCCCAGGUUUCUGUUGUCCUUUAUUGCCUAUCUGGGUGUAGGCUGUAAACUUUUACAAUGGGGAGAGAAGGGAUCACACCCUCUCAGCCCCCAUAGUUCUAGAAACAAAGGUAGGACGACUGAGACACCUGACUUGCUUCCAAGCCUACAAUUGAGGACCUAGGACAACUGACAAAAAGCUGACAAAGAAAGAUAAGAAUUUUUACCAAGUUUAGCUCUCCUGGAUCUCUACCUGGAGUACCUGAUGGAGAAUGGAAGACUCACUGAAAUUGAAAAUGCCUUUUUCCUAAGACCCUACAAACUGAAUCAGUCAACUUGGCUUUGAAGAAACAUCACCACAAGAGCCUAUAUUUGGAAAAACUUUGUACAUGCAAAGCGCAAAGCAAAAAAAAAUCUGUAAAAUUGCCGUUUGUAAUUUCAACUGACUGUUCUCCAGAGACUCUACAGAAACUCCAGAGAUUAGCCAUUAUUUUUUGCAUAAGUCAUAAGAAUCCACUCUAAUAAGAAAUAUUCCUUAUUAAAGAUUUGUUCACUUGCAUCAUAUAUAGAGGCCUAACUUUGACAGCCAGUCUUCAGCACCAUCUCCUGAAAUGAGACAUAACUGUAUAAUUGGACAGACAUAUUUCCAGAAAUGGGAGACUGUGUUAAUGAGAUUCUUUGCUACUCAGCUACUAAUUUUUCUCUCUACAGCUAACUCAGCUUUUCGUGUAUGAGACUUCUAGGGAAAUUUCAUACAAGAUAAUGUUGGAGCUCAGAAAAUGAUACCCCAAGGACUGGUAGUUUGACAUGUUGAGAGGCCUUUGAAGCUGCCUCAGAAUCGAGGACCCUUUGUCCUUUGCUUGGCCUCAUUCCUCGAUCCCAGCCCCAAGUGGAGGGAGGGAUUCUCUGGGAUUUCUUUAUCUAAGAAAGCUUAUUUUGGGGAAAAAAAUGCAAUUAUCUUGGGACCUUCUCUCUAGGGAACUCAUCAAAUAAUUGGAAAAGAUCAACUACCAGAGAAGAGAAGAGACUAGUAGUCACCACAGCACUCAGGUGUGCCCUGUAAAGAGAGCUUUAAAAAGAAGAAUACUGUUAUUGAGAGCUUCAAGAUCUAUGAGAAAACAGUGUUAAGUUUUAUUGACUGGCUUUCUUUUCAGUUACGAGACAUAAAGUCUAAGGCUACUACUUAUUUGGCUGAAAAUAUAUCUCCUGAGAUUCAUAAAACUUGAGGACACUAGAACCUGAAACUUAAAUUGAAAGCACUCUGACUUUCAUAUGCCCAUCUUGGAACAUUGUUUUUUUUGUUUAGUUUUCAUUAACCUCUUUAUCUUUUCCUCAAGUCUAAUAAAGAUGAUCUCUUUUUCUGUGGACUCACUUCUGAAGAAUAUCAUUUUCACAUAUAAAAGUUUCCAACUGUGCAAUAUUAUUGUCAUAAGAAUCAAGAUGGAAC
rnacentral:lncRNA from 10 species